CCUACGGGAGGCAGCAGUGGGGAAUCUUGCGCAAUGGGCGAAAGCCUGACGCAGCCAUGCCGCGUGAAUGAUGAAGGUCUUAGGAUUGUAAAAUUCUUUCACCGGGGACGAUAAUGACGGUACCCGGAGAAGAAGCCCCGGCUAACUUCGUGCCAGCAGCCGCGGUAAUACGAAGGGGGCUAGCGUUGCUCGGAAUUACUGGGCGUAAAGGGAGCGUAGGCGGAUAGUUUAGUCAGAGGUGAAAGCCCAGGGCUCAACCUUGGAAUUGCCUUUGAUACUGGCUAUCUUGAGUGUGGGAGAGGUAUGUGGAACUCCGAGUGUAGAGGUGAAAUUCGUAGAUAUUCGGAAGAACACCAGUGGCGAAGGCGACAUACUGGCCCAUUACUGACGCUGAGGCUCGAAAGCGUGGGGAGCAAACAGGAUUAGAUACCCUGGUAGUCCACGCUGUAAACGAUGAGUGCUAGUUGUCGGCAGGCAUGCCUGUCGGUGACGCNGCUACGCAUAAGCACUCCGCCGUCGGGAGGUACGGUCGCGAAGAAUUAAACUACAAUAGAAGUUAGUACGGCGUGAGACGUCGCCGACGGACGACGACGAGGGAGGUUAGG
rnacentral:rRNA from 1 species